rnacentral:lncRNA from 1 species
CAAAACCCCCCCUGUGGUUUCGUAGUUUUUCACUUUGCCCCCCUGUGGUUUAAAAUGUAUCAAUUUGCUCCCCUAUGGUUUCUUUUUUCUCUUUUUCUUAUCAAUUUUAUUAUUUUUUUUCUUAAAUCAGUGAUAAAGUUAAAAUUAAAGGGUACUAAAGUGAAUAUUUGAUAAAUCUAGAUGGGUAUCUGAAGUUUUUUUUUGUAUAUAAUUUAAUGAAAUAUUAACGAAAAAGCUAUCGAAAAGAUAAAAACGAAACCACAGAGGGGCAAUUUGAUACAUUUGAAACCAAAGGGGGGCAAAGUGAGAAACUACGAAACCACAGGGGGGGUUUUUGAAGUUUUUCCUUUAAACUUGAUAGAGGUUUUUAAUUUUGUAAAUUUUGAAUUUCAUAAUUAUUU